GUUUAAAUAUUCACGAGCUGUUUUGUACUGACCAUUUGUGGUUGAAUGUGGGCGUGUAGAGGGCGAGAUAUGAGGCAGAUCAUUGUAUGCACAAUUCAAAAUAGUGUGUGAUUUAUAAAGAUUAUUUA